CCUACGGGGGGCAGCAGUGGGGAAUCUUCCGCAAUGGACGAAAGUCUGACGGAGCGACGCCGCGUGAGUGAUGAAGGCCUUCGGGUCGUAAAGCUCUGUCGUCGGGGACGAACGGCCGCCUCAGGGAAUGGGGGCGGAGUGACGGUACCCGAGAAGGAAGCCACGGCUAACUACGUGCCAGCAGCCGCGGUAAUACGUAGGUGGCAAGCGUUGUCCGGAAUUAUUGGGCGUAAAGCGCGCGCAGGUGGGAUUUUAAGUCCAUUUUGAAAGUUCGGAGCUUAACUCCGUGAUGGGAUGGAAACUGGGAUUCUUGAGUACCGGAGAGGAAAGCGGAAUUCCCCGUGUAGCGGUGAAAUGCGUAGAUAUGGGGAGGAACACCAGUGGCGAAGGCGGCUUUCUGGACGGUGACUGACACUGAGGCGCGAAAGCCAGGGGAGCGAACGGGCUUAGAUACCCGUGUAGUC
rnacentral:rRNA from 1 species